UCAGCUAUGCGGAUGAGAUCGCCAUUUCGCUAAACCAGCACAGUGUCCUUGAGCUCAUAGUAAUCGGCGUUUCCGUUUAUCCGUUGCCCAAACUCUCGGAAUCCGAUCUUAUCACUCAUGUUUGAAUGACUACAGAAACAGUCGAAAGACAAGUCGGGGCACUCAAAUGGAUCAUGGUGAUAUCUGAUUGUUCGGUUAACUUCUGAAGCGGGUCGCGAAGGAUCUUUACUGAAGGUGGAUAUGUUGCCGUCUCAAAUGAAAUCGACUGUUAUUCAAGUGGCUUCCGAUCAUUAACGGAUACAAUGUUCGAUUGCAGCAAAAUGCUGUCUUUUACAUCACCGUAGCAUUUGGUAACUUAAUGUACAGAAACUACCGAAGAUGAAUUCCGCUUCAUCGAAAAGUUUACUGUCUGUUCAUUAACUGUAUAUCUAUAAUGCUUUGAUGUUCUAAUAACAAAUAUGUUCAACCUAAA